GGAUCAUCUGCUUUGGGACCAUGGUUGACUGUGGGUAACUGAAAUCAACUACAGACUUGAAUACUUUGGGAGCUGGAACUGCAUUUCUUUCUCUUUUCAUGUCCAGCAUUGUUUAGCCUGCAUUUCGUGCCUUGGAUAAUCUUCUCCCUGGAACGCUCCACAUUAUUUCUUAAUUGUGAUAUUGGAAUCUGCUGACUCGACCAUACUUGCUUCGGAGCUACAGUCUGAAGAAAUGCAGUUUUCCCCUUCUGCCCAUCAUCAUCACUCCUAAAAAGAAGAGGAGAAGUCUGGAAUAUUUGUAUCAAACAUGACACUGUUCUUUGAAGACUCUCCCAGCGAGGGCGCGGAGCAGGCUGUGUA